ACUCCUGCGGGAGGCAGCAGUGGGGAAUUUUGGACAAUGGGCGAAAGCCUGAUCCAGCAAUGCCGCGUGAGUGAAGAAGGCCUUCGGGUUGUAAAGCUCUUUUGUCAGGGAAGAAACGGUGAAAGCUAAUAUCUUUUGCUAAUGACGGUACCUGAAGAAUAAGCACCGGCUAACUACGUGCCAGCAGCCGCGGUAAUACGUAGGGUGCAAGCGUUAAUCGGAAUUACUGGGCGUAAAGCGUGCGCAGGCGGUUUUGUAAGUCUGAUGUGAAAUCCCCGGGCUCAACCUGGGAAUUGCAUUGGAGACUGCAAGGCUAGAAUCUGGCAGAGGGGGGUAGAAUUCCACGUGUAGCAGUGAAAUGCGUAGAUAUGUGGAGGAACACCGAUGGCGAAGGCAGCCCCCUGGGUCAAGAUUGACGCUCAUGCACGAAAGCGUGGGGAGCAAACAGGAUUAGAAACCCGGGUAGUCCCAU
rnacentral:rRNA from 1 species